UACGGAGGGUGCAAACGUUGCUCGGAAUCAUUGGGCGUAAAGCGCACGUAGGCGGUCCGACAAGUCGGGUGUGAAAGCCCUGGGCUCAACCCAGGAAGUGCACUCGAAACUGCCGGACUAGAAUAUGGAAGAGGGUCGCGGAAUUCCCGGUGUAGAGGUGAAAUUCGUAGAUAUCGGGAGGAACACCAGUGGCGAAGGCGGCGACCUGGGCCAAUAUUGACGCUGAGGUGCGAAAGCGUGGGGAGCAAACAGG
rnacentral:rRNA from 1 species